CUCAGUGGAUAAGGAAUGAAUAAGUCCUUCCAGUGCAAGUGGCAUGUCUUAGUCAUCUUUCUGCUGCUGGGAUGACAAGCCCAGGCACUUGUACAAGAGAGGAGAGGGAUGGAAGAGAGAAAAGAAAUGGUGAAUGAAAUCCAAAGUGAUUCUUGGAAUAGAGGCAAGAGGCAAAGUGGAAAAAAGGAACCUGCCCCCAUGAUGUGAGGACGCCCAAGCAGCUUGAAGGAAGUCUUGCUGACAGCUCCAUCUGAAGUCUUCACUGAUAGCCACUCCAACCACCAGACAUGGAGGGCAGUGAGCGUUUGGAUGAGUUGAGUCCUAGCUAUGGAGUCACCUCAGCUAAGGUCCUGAUGUGGAGAAGAGGUGUCACUAACAUACCCUUCCAGAAUUCCCGACUGAUCCACAGAAUCUGCGAGCACAGUAAUUGCUGUUUUAUACCACUUAGUGUCUUUUCAUGCAGCAAUGGUAGCACAACAGUUGACAUGAAGAAAGAGAAGUGGAAAUAAUGAAAGCUAGUAUCCAAUCCUCCUGAGAAGUAAGUUAAGACUCAGAGGUGGUUUCACUAGUUUUGAAAGUGGGUCCUUUCAGUAAAGUGCCCUAAAGUUUUUGGGAUGGAAAGUAGCCCUUAUCAUCAUAGGUACCAGGAAGGUGACCACAGCAAUGAAAAGCCUGAGUGUAAGAAACAGCCUCAUCAUCAGCUAUCUGGCAGUCCUUAAAAAUAGAGAGUAUGGACCAAACUCAUGGGGUAGGGUUUGCAAGCUUCCGUUCCCAGGAGGAAAGAUUUAAGAAAAAUUGUGGUUUUAGUUGAUGUUGUACUAUAAAUUAGUACUUACAAUUUUUGCACAACAGGCACAAGAGAUGGAUACAUCUCAUUAGUACAUCAUUUUACAAAGAUUUCUUGAUUCAAUUUUGUCUA